rnacentral:rRNA from 1 species
UACGUAGGGUGCGAGCGUUAAUCGGAAUUACUGGGCGUAAAGCGUGCGCAGGCGGUUCGUUGUGUCGGUGGUGAAAGCCCCGGGCUUAACCUGGGAAUGGCCAUGGAAACUGGCGAACUGGAGUGUGGCAGAGGGGGGUGGAAUUCCACGUGUAGCAGUGAAAUGCGUAGAUAUGUGGAGGAACACCGAUGGCGAAGGCAGCCCCCUGGGUCAACACUGACGCUCAUGCACGAAAGCGUGGGGAGCAAACAGG